UACGUAGGGCGCAAGCGUUGUCCGGAUUUAUUGGGCGUAAAGAGCGUGUAGGCGGCUGGGUAGGUCCGCUGUGAAAACUCGAGGCUUAACCUCGAGACGUCGGUGGAAACCAUCCAGCUAGAGUCCGGAAGAGGAGAGUGGAAUUCCUGGUGUAGCGGUGAAAUGCGCAGAUAUCAGGAAGAACACCCGUGGCGAAAGCGGCUCUCUGGGACGGUACUGACGCUGAGACGCGAAAGCGUGGGGAGCGAACAGG
rnacentral:rRNA from 1 species